rnacentral:rRNA from 1 species
CACGUAGGCACCAAGCGUUGUCCGGAUUUAUUGGGCGUAAAGAGCUCGUAGGCGGUUGAGUAAGUCGGGUGUGAAAACUCUGGGCUUAACCCAGAGCCGCCACUCGAUACUGCUCUGACUUGAGUACAGUAGGGGAGCAGGGAAUUCCUAGUGUAGCGGUGAAAUGCGCAGAUAUUAGGAGGAACACCGGUGGCGAAGGCGCUGCUCUGGGCCGAAACUGACGCUGAGGAGCGAAAGCGUGGGUAGCAAACAGG